rnacentral:rRNA from 1 species
GAUGAACGCUGGCGGCGUGCCUAAUACAUGCAAGUCGAGCGAACGGACGAGAAGCUUGCUUCUCUGAUGUUAGCGGCGGACGGGCGAGUAACACGUGGAUAACCUACCUAUAAGACUGGGAUAACUUCGGGAAACCGGAUCUAAUACUGGAUAAUAUUUUGAACCGCAUGGUUCAAAAGUGAUAGACGGUCUUGCUGUCACUUAUAGAUGGAUCCGCGCUGCAUUAGCUAGUUGGUAAGGUAACGGCUUACCAAGGCAACGAUGCGUAGCCGACCUGAGAGGGUGAUCGGCCACACUGGAACUGAGACACGGUCCAGACUCCUACGGGAGGCAGCAGUAGGGAAUCUUCCGCAAUGGGCGAAAGCCUGACGGAGCAACGCCGCGUGAGUGAUGAAGGUCUUCGGAUCGUAAAACUCUGUUAUUAGGGAAGAACAUAUGUGUAAGUAACUGUGCACAUCUUGACGGUACCUAAUCAGAAAGCAACGGCUAACUACGUG